rnacentral:rRNA from 1 species
UUAUGGCUCAGGACGAACGCUGGCGGCGUGCUUCAUACAUGCAAGUCGAACGAUAAGGUCUCUUCGGAGAUACAUAAGUGGCGGACGGGUGAGUAAAAUGUAGAGAAUCUGCCCUUAAGCGGGGGACAACAGAGGGAAACUUCUGCUAAUACCCCAUAUGAGCGUACCUGAAAUGGUAUUCUUGAAAACUCCGGUGCUUAAGGAUGAGUCUGCAUCUGAUUAGCUAGUUGGGGGUGUAAUGGACCACCAAGGCGACGAUCAGUAGCUGGUUUGAGAGGAUGAUCAGCCACAAUGGGACUGAGACACGGCCCAUACUCCUACGGAAGGCAGCAGUAGGGAAUUUUGCGCAAUGGGGGAAACCCUGAACGCAGCAACGCCGCGUGACCGAUGAAGCCCUUCGGGGUGUAAAGGUCUGUCAGUGGGGACGAAACUUGACGGUACCCACAGAGGAAGCAUCGGCUAACUCCGUGCCAGCCGCCGC